CAAACUGUCCUGUAUUUGCAUUGCUAAACAAUCAAAAUCCCAUAAAUAAUGGUGAUGAAAUUGAUACAGAUGGCUUAUUUACAAUAUCUGACAAAAUAUUUGCGUUAAACUUUUCUACAACUGGAAACGUGCCGAUUGAAUUCCAGUUAGCAGAUGAAUUAAUUGACAUCCCGGACCAUUCUGCAGUAGACACUUAUGUCACGAGUAUUCGAAUUCUAGACCCAGAUUUCGGAGAUUUUGUUGAGAAUAUAAAAUUUGACUAUGACAACCAAUAUUUCUACUUUGAUACAAAGUUAAGAAGUGUACAUGUAAAGACCUCACUACCACACAUUAAAGGAAAACAAAAUGCAACUCUAAACUAUACGUUUACAGUUCAAGACUCGUGCUUCAAUUUUGCUAAAGUUAGCACCACCAUAAUAGUGUAC